rnacentral:rRNA from 1 species
UACGGAGGGGGCUAGCGUUGUUCGGAAUUACUGGGCGUAAAGCGCACGUAGGCGGCUUUGUAAGUUAGAGGUGAAAGCCCGGGGCUCAACUCCGGAAUUGCCUUUAAGACUGCAUCGCUCGAAUUGUGGAGAGGUAAGUGGAAUUCCGAGUGUAGAGGUGAAAUUCGUAGAUAUUCGGAAGAACACCAGUGGCGAAGGCGACAUACUGGCUCAUUACUGACGCUGAGGCUCGAAAGCGUGGGGAGCAAACAGG